rnacentral:snoRNA from 1 species
UGGAUUAGAAAAACAAGACAUAUCACCCUGGCAGCCACAUCCUGCCUUUGAAUUCGGUUCUUUGGCGUCCGGAGCUGGAUAAGGAACAGUC